rnacentral:rRNA from 1 species
CCCUUAGAUGUCCUGGGCCGCACGCGCGCUACACUGACAUGUUCAACAAGCCUCCUAGUUCGACAGGAUUUGGGAAAUCUUUGAACGCAUGUCGUGAUAGGGAUAGAUCAUUGCAAUUAUUGAUCUUGAACGAGGAAUUCCUAGUAAACGCUAGUCAUCAGCUCGCAUUGAUUACGUCCCUGCCCUUUGUACACACCGCCCGUCGCACCUACCGAUUGGAUGGUCCGGUGAAGCCUCGGGAUUGUGGUUCUUGCCGCUUUAUUGUGGCGUGACCGCGAGAACUUGUCUAAACCUUAUCAUCUAGAGGAAGGUGAAGUCGUAACA